CCUACGGGUGGCAGCAGUGGGGGAUAUUGCACAAUGGGGGGAACCCUGAUGCAGCGACGCCGCGUGGGUGAAGAAGUGCUUCGGCAUGUAAAGCCCUAUCGGCAUGGAAGAAACAAGACGGUACCUGACUAAGAAGCCUCUGCUAACUACGUGCCAGCAGCCGCGGUAAUACGUAGGGGGCGCGCGUUAUCCGGAUUCACUGGGUGUAAAGGGAGCGUAGAGGGCCAUGCAAGCCAGUGGUGAAAUCCCGGGGCCCAACCCCGGGACUGCCGUUGGAACUGUGCGGCUAGAGUGCGGGAGGGGCAGGCGGAAUUCCUGGUGUAGCGGUGAAAUGCGUAGAUAUCAGGAGGAACACCGGAGGCGAAGGCGGUCUGCUGGACCGCGACUGACGUUGAGGCUCGAAAGCGUGGGGAGCGAACAGGAUUAGAUACCCGAGUAGUC
rnacentral:rRNA from 1 species